rnacentral:rRNA from 1 species
CCCGAUGAACCUGAAUAUCCGUUGUGGAAAAUUCAUCAUCAAUUGUGUGAUAUUUUUUUUUAAAUAUCGUAUCAAUGGUGUGCACUUUUUCCACUUAAGGACAUUGUAAUCCGUUAAUGUUUGAAUGCGUAUUAUAAGAACAUUCACAAUAGUUUUUACAUUAUUUAGCACUUUGUGUUAAAUAUGUUUAAAUGUAAAUGCUUCGAAUAUGCCAUUGACGGAUUCUUACGUAUAUUGCACUUAAAUCUUUUUGAUUUUAUAAUAAUAUGAUUAUCAUUGAUUUUUGUAUUCAUUAUAUGUGCAUAUAUGAUUGACAAUGCGAAAGAUUCAGGAUACCUUCGGGACCCGUCUUGAAACACGGACCAAGGAGUCUAACAUAUGUGCAAGUCAUUGGGUUUUCUAAACCUAAAGGCGAAAUUAAAUUAACUGUUAAUGGGAUCAGUAUAUAUUUUUUAUAAAUAUAUAUUCAAUCCCGGGGCGUUCUAUAUGGUUAUGUAUAAUGGUACUUGUAUUAUUUAUACCUCUAACUGGAAC